rnacentral:rRNA from 1 species
CUGGUUCAAGUGCGUAGGCUUGAGAGUUAGGUAAAUCCGGCUCUCUCUAAGGCUGAGACACGACGUCGAGCUACUACGGUAGUGAAGUCAUUGAUGCCAUGCUUCCAGGAAAAGCCUCUAAGCUUCAGAUAGUCAGGAAUCGUACCCCAAACCGACACAGGUGGUCGGGUAGAGAAUACCAAGGCGCUUGAGAGAACUCGGGUGAAGGAACUAGGCAAAAUGGUACCGUAACUUCGGGAGAAGGUACGCUCUUGAUGGUGAAGUCCCUCGCGGAUGGAGCUGACGAGAGUCGCAGAUACCAGGUGGCUGCAACUGUUUAUUAAAAACACAGCACUGUGCAAAAUCGCAAGAUGACGUAUACGGUGUGACGCCUGCCCGGUGCCGGAAGGUUAAUUGAUGGGGUUAGCGCAAGCGAAGCUCUUGAUCGAAGCCCCGGUAAACGGCGGCCGUAACUAUAACGGUCCUAAGGUAGCGAAAUUCCUUGUCGGGUAAGUUCCGACCUGCACGAAUGGCGUAAUGAUGGCCACGCUGUCUCCACCCGAGACUCAGUGAAAUUGAAAUCGCUGUGAAGAUGCAGUGUACCCGCGGCUAGACGGAAAGACCCCGUGAACCUUUACUACAGCUUGGCACUGAACAUUGAACCUACAUGUGUAGGAUAGGUGGGAGGCUAUGAAGACGUGACGCCAGUUGCGUUGGAGCCGUCCUUGAAAUACCACCCUUGUAUGUUUGAUGUUCUAACUUAGACCCAUUAUCUGGGUUGAGGACAGUGCCUGGUGGGUAGUUUGACUGGGGCGGUCUCCUCCCAAAGAGUAACGGAGGAGCACGAAGGUGGGCUAAUCACGGUUGGACAUCGUGAGGUUAGUGCAAUGGCAUAAGCCCGCUUAACUGCGAGAAUGACGGUUCGAGCAGGUGCGAAAGCAGGUCAUAGUGAUCCGGUGGUUCUGUAUGGAAGGGCCAUCGCUCAACGGAUAAAAGGUACUCCGGGGAUAACAGGCUGAUACCGCCCAAGAGUUCAUAUCGACGGCGGUGUUUGGCACCUCGAUGUCGGCUCAUCACAUCCUGGGGCUGAAGUCGGUCCCAAGGGUAUGGCUGUUCGCCAUUUAAAGUGGUACGCGAGCUGGGUUUAGAACGUCGUGAGACAGUUCGGUCCCUAUCUGCCGUGGGCGUUGGAAGAUUGAAGGGGGCUGCUCCUAGUACGAGAGGACCGGAGUGGACGAACCUCUGGUGUUCGGGUUGUGUCGCCAGACGCAUUGCCCGGUAGCUAAGUUCGGAAUUGAUAAGCGCUGAAAGCAUCUAAGCGCGAAGCGAGCCCUGAGAUGAGUCUUCCCUGACAGUUUAACU